AAGUCGUAACAAGGUCUCCGUAGGUGAACCUGCGGAGGGAUCAUUAACACGUUUUUAUUAACGUUCCCACCAAACAAAAGGAAACGAAAGAGGAGGAAAGUGAAAACGAUCCAAAUCUUAGCACAGCUCCCUACGAACGUACUAGUACAGAAGUAGGCUAUUCUUUUAUUAACCCCUUUCCAACUAGAUUUUGAGAUUUCUCAAGAUCGACUAACUUGCCCUGUAUCUAGUAGUGAAGAAUUAAUUUUAUUAAUUUAAUUAUUUCUUCUUUCACUUCUAGCUUGAUAUUUAAAUGCAAAGCACAACUCUUAGCAACGGAUAUCUUGGUUCUC
rnacentral:misc_RNA from 1 species